CGGUAUGUCAAUACUAACAAAACUCUAUUAAUAUGUUUUGUCAAAUAAGAAUGAAAUCUUACUCGUAAUCUUAUCUUUGGUGUCAUCGAGAUGAUCUACAUCAUUUGGAAUUACUUCUAGAUCAAUCAAAUUAGGGUAACCUUCAAUGGUUUCGCACAUCUUUUUGUGGGUUCGCUUUCAUUUGGCACUUGAAUGCGAGUUUGGAAAAUGUCACCCACAUCUGUGACACAAAUAAACUAUGUUACUUCCUUCAAAUUUCAAGAUAUCAACAAACUUGGAUGAACUCUAUGUUUGCUUUGACCCGAGAAACCACAUGUUAGGAAAUUGGUUAAUUUAAUAUAAAAUAAAAAAAAGCAAGAAACCUGGAGGAAUUCUAUGUUUUCUUUGAUCUUGGAUAACCAUCUAUGGUUAUAGAAAAGAGAGAUAAGAUGAGAAAAUAAAAGAAUAUAUUGAGAAAGAGUUGGAAGAAUUAGGCUAGUUUACCUAUAAAGUGUUGGUUGAUAAGUUGGUGGGAGCUAUUAUAUAAUAUAUAAAAAAUGAUGUAUACCAACAAUAUUAUGUCUUAUAUAUUUUUUUAUUUUUUCUUUUUUUUAUUGGUAAUUGAUUGAUGAUAUUAUGUCGUAAAAUCACAAAUUAUCGUAUUUAUGUUUGUUUAUUACCUAAUUGUUUUUUUCAAUAGUAUAAAUAGUAAUAAUACACAAAAAAGAAUUAAAACUCACUUAUAAAAGUCUGAUUUUUAAAUUUUUUUUACUCCAUGUGGAUAAUACACAUGACUAUUUAUUUUGACCAAGAUGACACAUGCUUUAUACCUAAUAAAAAUGCAGUUAAUGAUCAAAUGAAUACAAACACAAUAGUUGGUGGCCUUAUAAUGACAUUACUCUCAGUUAUUUGAAUGUGAGUUAGUUAAUCUAAUUCGAAUGCUAGUUCAUAUUUGGAAUUUUUCAUACUUAGAUGUACUCAGAUUAUGUCAAAUAGUUAUAUUUUGUACUUAGAUGAGAUACUAAAUUUGAGAAUUAAGCAAUAGUUGAAGAUAUAUAAUAUAUUUAGGUAAAUUUUGGAGUUAAGUAGCAACAGAAGAUACCUAAUACAUUUAAAUACAAGAAUCUGAUGGAAAGAUCGGAUAGGCAACUUACUUCAUAUCAUUUCAACAUUCAGAUAGCAUAGGGUCAUUUUUCAUGUCCUAUUAGUAAAUAAUUUGAUGAUCCUAAGACCAAUAUAAGACAUCAUAAGUGUUAUAAAGAAGUAGUGAUAAAUACCACAUGAAUUGAACAUCCAUGAUUUGGGAUUAUAUGGUUCAUAAUUAAGUGUGAAAAUGAUUGUUUUAGGGACAUUGAAUUAGUGAGUUGGGUGUUAAAUAAUAUGCUUUAAUGAUAAUUUAAUAUGAAAAUCGUCCAAUAUGAACGAUAAGCUAUAAUAAUGUUUGAAGUAUAAUAUUAUUUUAGCAUUUAAGACUUUAUUGUUUGAAGAUGUAGAAUUUGGUUAAUUUAGAUGGUUACCAUUGUUGUGUGUUAAUUUAAUUUAAGAGCAUUAAGAUGUUUACUAUGUAAUACAUUUCCAUAUGCUUGAUAACCAUAAUUUCAUAAUUUUAUCUUAAGUGUUCAACUAAUCUUAAGUGUCAGGCUUAUCUAGUAUUGGGUUUAUCUAAAUAUUAGUUUGUAACACCCUAAAACUAAAAAAAGGUAUACUCAAAAUAUUCUUUCUUUUUACAUUCGACAUCUACAUAUAGUGUACUUUGUACUAGAAAAAGUAUAUGUGUGCAUCACAACCAAAGUUUACAACAUGUAUAACCCAAUCUAUUUGUUACAUUAAUUAAAAAAAAAACACAAGGUUUGAUAAGAUUCUUAUAUCUAUUCCAAGUCUUUACCUUUAGUUAUGGAACUUGCAUCCAUGGAAAACAACCACAACAUAAGUUAUAUGAAGCUUGUGAGUAUCUAACAUAAUCCUUACAAGAUAUGUACAAAGAAUUCAAAGAACACAAUUAAUAAAAAUCAAAUAUGUAACCAUUAUUGGUGUGAAUUUCUUUUCAAUGGCAAGGUAAAUACUCUUAAGCCAGAUCUUAAGUGUCUCAUGAACCUAGUGGGGUUUGAUAAGCUAAAAAAUGAUAUUUUUUUUAUAAAAACAGUUUUGACGGCAAACGAAAGACUUUUAAUAUAGCUAGUUUAUUUUUAGAUCAUUUUAACAAAACCACCAAGAGGAUCUAAAUACAUGAACUACAAAGAUAAUAACAACCAUAUAAAGUUAAAGAGAUAACAUUUGAAAACUUUGAUCCUACUUGGUUUUGGGAGUUGAUGAAGAUGACAAAAACUCAAGAUUAGAGUUUCUCUAUGAUGAAUCCACCAACAAGAGUAAGUCACCAAGAAUGUUAGUUCUUCAUCUUAAGUAUCGUUUAAGCCUUUAAGUGCUUAACAUAAUUAAGCACUAAAGGAGAAGCACUUCUAAGCACCAAUUUUUCAAUAUACUUCAAAAGAUAAGAAGAAAAGGGAGGAGAAUGGAAUUCUCGACCUAGGAAAAAAGAAGAAAGAUAGAGAAAAAAACUGACUUCAAAAUGGGAGCCAUAAAUGCUCUCUUGUAUACCCACACAUGAGAAACAAGAGCCACACAUCAUUAUAUAUUAUAAAGUAAUGGAUAGCUAGAUGUAUGGAGUAUGUAAGAGGGAGGUUGGCAAGCAACCUCCUACUCCUUUACAACUUUCGGCCAUCAUGAUUGAAAAAGAGAAGUGACAUGUCGAGUUUCACUAACUAAAUAAGUUAAGACAACUAGUUAGGUCAUAUGGAAUCCAAGUACUCCAAAAACUUGUACACAACAUAUCUAAUCAUACAAUGUGAUUAAAUAACUAGUUAUUACUCUCUAAAAUAUUAUUUUCAUAAAAUAAUAAUUUCCCAAUAUUAUUUUCACAAAAUAAUAAUUUCUCCAAAAUAAACACAAGAGUUGAAUAUAUUUAUUAAUAAUCGAAUUCUUAAUAAAUAAUCAAUAAAUAACAACUUGCUAAAGAUGUGACCCUAUAUGAAUAUAUGUUAUUGGUGUUGGAUUAGGUGUCUAAGCCCAUAAUUAUACUUGAUAUAUACUUAAAUUGAUAUUCUUAGGCCUCUUACCAUGGCCCUCAGAUGUCAGUGUUUGCAUUGGUCUCCGCUUCCUCAGAAGCUCCAAACCAAUCUCCCGUUC
rnacentral:lncRNA from 1 species